rnacentral:rRNA from 1 species
GGAUUAGAUACCCUGGUAGUCCACGCCGUAAACGAUGUCUACUAGUUGUCGGGAGACUUGAUCUUUUGGUAACGAAGCUAACGCGAUAAGUAGACCGCCUGGGGAGUACGGCCGCAAGGUUAAAACUCAAAUGAAUUGACGGGGGCCCGCACAAGCGGUGGAGCAUGUGGUUUAAUUCGACGCAACGCGAAGAACCUUACCUACCCUUGACAUCCAGAGAACUUGGCAGAGAUGCCUUGGUGCCUUCGGGAGCUCUGAGACAGGUGCUGCAUGGCUGUCGUCAGCUCGUGCCG